UUAAAUUGAAGAGUUUGAUCAUGGCUCAGAUUGAACGCUGGCGGCAGGCCUAACACAUGCAAGUCGAACGGUAACAGGAAUCAGCUUGCUGAUUCGCUGACGAGUGGCGGACGGGUGAGUAAUGUCUGGGAAACUGCCUGAUGGAGGGGGAUAACUACUGGAAACGGUAGCUAAUACCGCAUAAUGUCGCAAGACCAAAGAGGGGGACCUUCGGGCCUCUUGCCAUCGGAUGUGCCCAGAUGGGAUUAGCUUGUUGGUGGGGUAACGGCUCACCAAGGCGACGAUCCCUAGCUGGUCUGAGAGGAUGACCAGCCACACUGGAACUGAGACACGGUCCAGACUCCUACGGGAGGCAGCAGUGGGGAAUAUUGCACAAUGGGCGCAAGCCUGAUGCAGCCAUGCCGCGUGUAUGAAGAAGGCCUUCGGGUUGUAAAGUACUUUCAGCGGGGAGGAAGGGAGUAAAGUUAAUACCUUUGCUCAUUGACGUUAUCCGCAGAAGAAGCACCGGCUAACUCCGUGCCAGCAGCCGCGGUAAUACGGAGGGUGCAAGCGUUAAUCGGAAUUACUGGGCGUAAAGCGCACGCAGGCGGUUUGUUAAGUCAGAUGUGAAAUCCCCGGGCUCAACCUGGGAACUGCAUCUGAUACUGGCAAGCUUGAGUCUCGUAGAGGGGGGUAGAAUUCCAGGUGUAGCGGUGAAAUGCGUAGAGAUCUGGAGGAAUACCGGUGGCGAAGGCGGCCCCCUGGACGAAGACUGACGCUCAGGUGCGAAAGCGUGGGGAGCAAACAGGAUUAGAUACCCUGGUAGUCCACGCCGUAAACGAUGUCGACUUGGAGGUUGUGCCCUUGAGGCGUGGCUUCCGGAGCUAACGCGUUAAGUCGACCGCCUGGGGAGUACGGCCGCAAGGUUAAAACUCAAAUGAAUUGACGGGGGCCCGCACAAGCGGUGGAGCAUGUGGUUUAAUUCGAUGCAACGCGAAGAACCUUACCUGGUCUUGACAUCCACGGAAGUUUUCAGAGAUGAGAAUGUGCCUUCGGGAACCGUGAGACAGGUGCUGCAUGGCUGUCGUCAGCUCGUGUUGUGAAAUGUUGGGUUAAGUCCCGCAACGAGCGCAACCCUUAUCCUUUGUUGCCAGCGGUCCGGCCGGGAACUCAAAGGAGACUGCCAGUGAUAAACUGGAGGAAGGUGGGGACGACGUCAAGUCAUCAUGGCCCUUACGACCAGGGCUACACACGUGCUACAAUGGCGCAUACAAAGAGAAGCGACCUCGCGAGAGCAAGCGGACCUCAUAAAGUGCGUCGUAGUCCGGAUUGGAGUCUGCAACUCGACUCCAUGAAGUCGGAAUCGCUAGUAAUCGUGGAUCAGAAUGCCACGGUGAAUACGUUCCCGGGCCUUGUACACACCGCCCGUCACACCAUGGGAGUGGGUUGCAAAAGAAGUAGGUAGCUUAACCUUCGGGAGGGCGCUUACCACUUUGUGAUUCAUGACUGGGGUGAAGUCGUAACAAGGUAACCGUAGGGGAACCUGCGGUUGGAUCACCUCCUUA
rnacentral:rRNA from 1 species